rnacentral:rRNA from 1 species
UACGAAGGGGGCGAGCGUUGUUCGGAUUUACUGGGCGUAAAGGGCGCGUAGGCGGCCCUCCUUGUCGCGUGUGAAAUCCCCGGGCUCAACCUGGGAACUGCAUUUGUGACUGCAUAGCUAGAGUGCGGCAGAGGGAGAUGGAAUUCCGCGUGUAGCAGUGAAAUGCGUAGAUAUGCGGAGGAACACCGAUGGCGAAGGCAAUCUCCUGGGCCUGCACUGACGCUCAUGCACGAAAGCGUGGGGAGCAAACAGG